UUUGGUCUCGUCAUCUCUGGCUCCACUUCGAGCCCUUGCAGUUUGGGGCGUAAGACCUGCUGCUUUCCUGACUAAGUAUAUAUGUGCAUAUGCCUGACGAAGUCAUGCGAUUUUAUAUAAAGGGAAAUACAACAAACCUAGCUUGGAGAAUUUCUGUCUAACCAACUCUUCUAAAACAAGCUGAUCCACCACAGAAUCAAGUACAGUGAAGUUCCAUAUGAAGCUGGAAUAGGUAGCAAAAAUUAGGAGACAACACGUAGGAGAGAAGACAAUAUAUCAAGGGCAGGCAUUAUCCUCUGUUUCAAUGUAUCGUAAUCCUAAAAGGCCAGCAGAGUUUGAAAAUCAUGCCUUUAUGUAUAUUGACAUCUUGAUUUCCUAGUCUAAUCAACACUAAACCAGAAUGCCAAAGAAUAAAAAGCUUCAGGCUAUGCAACGAAUACAUUACAGUGGUAACUACUAACAAGCUACCUGGACCACCCAGGUGUUGUAUUUUCUCCAAACUUAAUCCCAAGUUACAUAUUGUUGGUAUAUAUUAGUGUGCUAUUCUAGUAAACCUUGAUCAUAUAUAUCAACACCCGUUGUUGAAACAAUAAGUGGAAAAGGACAAAUAUUAUCCUGUGUCCAAAUUCUGGUUAAAAGGCACCCAAGAUACCAGGGUGAAUAUUAAACAAAGAAAACAUGCUCUCUUUUUUACCAUCUAUCAGUAAAAUCAGAUUAUCCAAUCAAACUUAACUGCCCCAAAGGAACUAAUACUUUACAUUUUUAACUACAACCAAUUCACCAUUAUAUGUUAAUCUAAAUAAUGCAGCCUAUUUGGCUGUCAUUGUAAACUCAGUGGUUAUAUCUUAUUUGUACAGAAGAAUUGUUGGAAUGAAAAGUAAGAAACAAUCAAUUCUUGUUCUAUUCCCAAAACAUCCCCAGAUACUACGGCAAAAAAGAUCUGAUUCUUCCUAGUGCAUUGAGUUGAGCGUUUACAGGCAGCCAAGCAAAAUUGCAAAUACGCUCACACUACUCCCAUCCUUGGUUAAGGUCUGGCGGCUAGAGAUCUGACCAGAAGUUGUAUAUAAAAGCAUGUAGACGGGAAGAGAUUAGAGAUGGAGAGGAAGUAGUCCAGCAUAGCACCUCCACCUCAACCAUCACAACAGAACAAGCCGUGUAGCGCAUCAGGGGAGAAUAGCAGUACGUGGUGGCGGCGCCGCCGUGGAUGAGCAGCGCGCAGCCGACAGCUUACUUGCGGAGGACGGCGUUGGAAGAGGCGGGGACGGCGCGGAGGAGACAGCUAUGAGGACGGGGGUGGACGGUAAGGCUGUUGAAAGAAACAGAGGAGGCAGCGGAGGUGUCGGGGCAAGGACAGCGUCGGCACUCGGCCGCGUACUUGCCAAGAUCGACGUUGGGAACAUUGGGAAGGGGGCGGAGCCGCGGAGGAGACGGCGAGGAGGUGGGG
rnacentral:lncRNA from 1 species